UUGAACGCUGGCGGCAUGCUUUACACAUGCAAGUCGAACGGCAGCGGGGGCUUCGGCCUGCCGGCGAGUGGCGAACGGGUGAGUAACACAUCGGAACGUACCCAGUUGUGGGGGAUAGCCCGGCGAAAGCCGGAUUAAUACCGCAUACGACCUGAGGGUGAAAGGGGGGGAUCGCAAGACCUCUCGCAGUUGGAGCGGCCGAUGGCGGAUUAGCUAGUUGGUGGGGUAAAGGCCUACCAAGGCGACGAUCCGUAGCUGGUCUGAGAGGACGACCAGCCACACUGGAACUGAGACACGGUCCAGACUCCUACGGGAGGCAGCAGUGGGGAAUUUUGGACAAUGGGGGCAACCCUGAUCCAGCCAUUCCGCGUGAGUGAAGAAGGCCUUCGGGUUGUAAAGCUCUUUCGGCAGGAACGAAACGGUGGAGGCUAAUACCUUUCAUCAAUGACGGUACCUGAAGAAGAAGCACCGGCUAACUACGU
rnacentral:rRNA from 1 species